rnacentral:rRNA from 1 species
GACGAACGCUGGCGGCAUGCCUAAUACAUGCAAGUAGAACGCUGAAGGAGGAGCUUGCUUCUCUGGAUGAGUUGCGAACGGGUGAGUAAUAUAUCGGAACGUACCGAGUAAUGGGGGAUAACUAAUCGAAAGAUUAGCUAAUACCGCAUAUUCUCUGAGGAGGAAAGCAGGGGACCUUCGGGCCUUGCGUUAUUCGAGCGGCCGAUAUCUGAUUAGCUAGUUGGUGGGGUAAAGGCCUACCAAGGCGACGAUCAGUAGCGGGUCUGAGAGGAUGAUCCGCCACACUGGGACUGAGACACGGCCCAGACUCCUACGGGAGGCAGCAGUGGGGAAUUUUGGACAAUGGGCGCAAGCCUGAUCCAGCCAUGCCGCGUGUCUGAAGAAGGCCUUCGGGUUGUAAAGGACUUUUGUCAGGGAAGAAAAGGCUGUUGCUAAUAUCGACAGCUGAUGACGGUACCUGAAGAAUAAGCACCGGCUAACUACGUGCCAGCAGCCGCGGUAAUACGUAGGGUGCGAGCGUUAAUCGGAAUUACUGGGCGUAAAGCGAGCGCAGACGGUUACUUAAGCAGGAUGUGAAAUCCCCGGGCUUAACCUGGGAACUGCGUUCUGAACUGGGUGACUAGAGUGUGUCAGAGGGAGGUAGAAUUCCACGUGUAGCAGUGAAAUGCGUAGAGAUGUGGAGGAAUACCGAUGGCGAAGGCAGCCUCCUGGGAUAACACUGACGUUCAUGCUCGAAAGCGUGGGUAGCAAACAGG